rnacentral:lncRNA from 1 species
ACUGAAUCAUUCAUCUCUCUGUGUACACAAUGUGACUGACUGGCCAUUGCUGAAAUGAGAGGAGAGUGCGGACUUCCUGCAUUUCAAGGUCCUUCGGCUGUGGAUAUGGCGACAGCUGGUGAAGAGCCUCUGCUGGUGCUUUUGAGAAUAUAUUCUCCAGGUGCUGAUGUGAUUUCCCAGCAUAAUAUAGUCCAAGAAAGAAACCCAGAGCAGGAAAAAGAAGAGGAGAAAAUGGCAGCUUCUCAGGGUCUGUUGACACUCAGGAUGUUGCCAUAGAUUUUUGUCACAAUGUGUGGAAACACCUGGACCUUGUUCAGCGGGAACUGUACAGGGAUAUGACGUUAGACAUCUACAGGAACCUGGUCUCCUUGGGGGAAGAUAACUUCCAGAAUUUAUAAUCCACGCUUAGGGUUUAGAUUGUUUUAUCUGUAGAAUGUCUUUUCGGAGUUUCUGCUGUGCAUGAGUGAAUUUCUUAUCCCUGCUUUAAAGGAAAUAAAGGAGGUUGGUUGGCUUAAAGGAGAAAAUCU